GAAUUGACGGGACCCGCACAAGCAGCGGAGCGUGUGGUUUAAUUCGUUGCUACACGAAGAACCUUACCUGGGUUUGACAUAUAGGUUGUAGGGAACUGAAAGGGACCGACCCUUCGGGGAGCCUAUACAGGUGUUGCAUGGCUGUCGUCAGCUCGUGUCGUGAGAUGUUCGGUUAAGUCCGCUAACGAGCGCAACCCUCGUCGUAUGUUAUAUGUGUCAUACGAGACUGCCGGUAAAAGCCGGAGGAAGGUGAGGAUGAUGUCAAGUCAGCAUGACCUUUAUAUCCAGGGCUACACACACGCUACAAUGGUCUGUACAAUGGGUAGCCAAGCCGCGAGGCGGAGCCAAUCCUGAAAGCAGGCCUCAGUUCAGAUUGCAGUCUGCAACUCGACUGCAUGAAGCCGGAGUUGCUAGUAACCGCAAGGUCAGCAAUACUGCGGUGAAUACGUUCCCGGGUCUU
rnacentral:rRNA from 1 species